AAUAAUACCCCGGUAGUCCUGGCCCUAAACGAUGUCCACUGGGUCGCGGCCCCUUGACGGGGGUCGCGGCCGGAGCAAAAGUGUUAAGUGGACCGCCUGGGAAGUACGGUCGCAAGGCUAAAACUCAAAGGAAUUGAUGGGGGCUCACACAAGCGGUGGAGCAUGUGGUUCAAUUCGAAGCAACGCGCAGAGCCUUACCUGGGCUUGACAUGCCAGGAUUAUCCCGGUGAAAGCCGGGUAGGCCCCGCAAGGGGUACAACUGGUACAGGUGCUGCAUGGCUGUCGUCAGCUCGUGUCGUGAGAUGUCGGGUUAAGUCCCUUAACGAGCGAAACCUUUGCCCCUAGUUACCAUCGGGUCAUGCCGGGGACUCUAGGGGGACUGCCGGUGUCAAACCGGAGGAAGGUGGAGAUGACGUCAAGUCCUCAUGGCCUUUAUGCCCAGGGCCACACACGUGCUACAAUGGCGUCGACAAAGCGACCCGAGAGCGCGAGCUGGAGGAAAUCGCAGAAAUGACGCCCCAGUUCAGAUCGGAGGCUGCAACCCGCCUCCG
rnacentral:rRNA from 1 species